AUUCCACGGUGGAUAAUAAGAUCUAGUUUACAAGGACAGAUUUGGAUGGAAAGAGCAGUUACACUGUACUUCUGGGAAUCUAUUAGCCAAGUUUGCUGUGCUUGACACGAGUGCGAGGCCUCACCUUACUUGCUGACUGGACUAGCCCAACAGGUUCUACAGAAUAAACCCCAUUCUGUCUCAGCUGUGGAGAUCAAUGAAAAGACUCUGUCUUCUUGCCGCCAGAUAUGUUACCUGCACUUAGAGAAUUGAAAGUGCAAAUCAAAGGAGUGUUCUUUUGGGAAGAGAGUUUUAGCGGAAAGGUCUGGAUGCUGGUGAACUGAUGAGGAAGCAGCAGUUAUUUCUGAGAUUUAACUUUGACCUGGGCUUUGAAGAGACACCCAUUCACCACUGUUGCAACUGCAUGCUUCCAGGAACUGGAGAGCAGAAGAACUUACAACUUUUGAUGAAUUCAUCAAGCAAAAGUAUUUUCCAUUUAAGGAGAUUUUGAGAUUCAGCUUUUCUGUGACCCCGGAUGAGAAAAGAUUAAGUUGGUAACUCCAAGGAUGACGUAAGUAAUUGGGUAUAUUUUAGAGUUGGAUUUCAUGAACAACUAGCCUGUCAUGUCAUCUUGUAAAUAUCUUUGUGUAUUAACCCCAUUGCUCCAAGAAAUUAUGUGCCUCUAAUGUUGAUGCUGAUAGGAAAUCUCUCAGCUGGGGCAGGCUCUGGGAGCCAACCAAAGGCACAUACUAACCAAAGCCCCUCUCAUUUUGACCUCAAUGUUCUAAUCCUGCACUUCUUAACAAAAUCUCUCUCCUUAUCUUUUGUAUAACUCCAGUGGAAUAAUUUCCAUUGAAUUGCAUGACAGAGUCUAUUUAUGGGGUUUAGGAUUCUCUAUUGGAUUUUUAGGUAUCACAAUCAAUUUCGUAACUUGCAUAUACCAUUUUCUUGGUGUCAUAGUUCAUUCUCAGGUCCUUUUAAGUUAAAUUCCUUUAAUUGCCUCCUUUAAGGUUUCACUGUUUUGUUUUUUGUUUGUUUGUUUUUUUUCUGGUUAAUUUCAUGAGAUAUACUGAGUCAACAAUCCUUGUUAGGGAAGUAGUAGGACAAACGGAUGGAUUUUUCAACCAUUUUAGGUGAUGGAAUAAGAUAUUUGCAAGAACAUUGGAAAAAUGGAGAGGCUGGAGGGGGGGGAUACAUAAAAAUGUUCCAUUGCUCUUGCCCCAACUCUACCCUUUUUUGUCAUUUUGACAAUGAGAAAUAUUGAUGACAAAC
rnacentral:lncRNA from 1 species